GCUCUCAUGGAAUGCAUCACAUCACAAACAUAUCAUCUCACGGAUGAACUUGUCACCAAUAGCCCUCUACUAUAUGUCAUAAUAUGUCCUGCUAUGCCAAGGAGACUAGGUCAUCACCUGGACUUCUCUUAUUUCUCUCAUAUCAUAACAUGUCCCACUGUGCUAAGGAGACUAGGUCAUCACCUGGACUUCUCUUAUCUGAUCUGACAGCCCGGCUGUCUAACUCAUAGUACCAGGAGCGACCUGGAC
rnacentral:lncRNA from 1 species